rnacentral:tRNA from 1 species
GCCCCCGUUGUGUAGCGGCCUAGCACGCCGCCCUCUCAACUCUCAAGGCGGUAGCGCCGGUUCGAAUCCGGUCGGGGGUA